AAUGAAUGAGGUGGCAGAAAGUUUUUCGGUUAAAAGGACUAAAAUCCAUUUAAUGCCUGGAUGGACAUCAGAAUUAGGUGACAGAUGAAUCAUGUGCCAGUCAAGGCAAGAAAUGGUCUUUUCCGAAGUGGAUAUAAGCACUAAGUUGAGAGUCUCCUGAUUGUUCCUUAGACUUUCUAGUUCCCACAACCUUGGGGACUCUGUAGGUGCCUACUGGAAUUGUUGUCAUCCUUUCUCUACGACUCCAAGAGAAACUUUAUACUGGAGGAAGAAUAUUCUACCACUUUGGGAUGCUUCCAAAGAAAUGGGAUACCAAAGGAGUGAACUUCAGGUCAUUGGAAGUGGCCAAGCUGGAGGGCGACCUAUGGAGACAUGACCUUCAGUUCUUCCUGAGAUCGAUAAAGCUUAAAAGAAAAGAAAAAGCCAACUCAGCUUGUGCGUGGAUCCUGGACCUUGCUCUAAUACAGACCCCGCUCCUGGAGUGUAAGCCAUGCUUGACGGCUCAGCUUUCUUGUCACUAAUGAGGUGGGAUGUGGUUGUGCAUUCAAAAUCUAGCAAGGACGAAGUGAGUGCACCACUGAUUAAACAUGGAGAGAAAUUUCUUUCCAAAGGGCUGUGUAAGAGGAGAAGCAGGAGAUGUAUGUAAGAUUUCUCAUUUGUGCAAUGCAUCCUCUGAACCACUGUGAUGCCACGGGCUGCUGAACUUUCCACAGGGGCCAUUAGGGACGAAAUCACACCGAUGGAAUGAAAGGGAAAAUAACCAAAGACAACAGCAACAGCUCAAAACACCAGAAAAAGCAGCAACACUAUAUCUAUCCGUCACUGGCCCAACUCGACAUCUGGAAAAGAACCCAGAGUAGCUGCCAACCAGAUGGCCCCUUGGUGUAAGUGGGAGGAGGUACCUGUCCAGGCACAUGCAGCCCUACACAGGCUGAAUUUCAGGCCUCCUCGUGCAGGGAACCCUCUUCCCAGCUGUACAUGGUCCCCUGAGCAUUCGCAUGUAAUUCUCUCAUCUUUCCAGCCAUUCUUUUUCUCUUUCCUUUUUUUAAGGCCUGGCAGCUACCUUUUUUUUUUUUUUUUUUAGGACCGUGAAGCUGCAGCCUCUGACAUGAUAUGUAGAUAAAAGACGUCACGGGGAUAAGAGCUAGAGAAAGCUUUAACGAGAAGAGCUUAGACCAUUUUCAAAGCUCCUCCACAGUGCACGGAGGGGCCCAAAGCUGGCGGAGCGCUGGGCGACACGCUCCCGCUCGCACCAAGGCCUCGCUCUGAUGAGCUGGGCAAUUGGGAGACUGUUUGAACAAACCAAAGAAAAAUAUCAAAAGGCAAAUUGGAGUUAGGGAGAAAAUGAAUAGCCCAUGAUCUCCAAGGGAGAUUACAGAGGUAAUGACAAAGCAGGCAGGUUUUUAGAGGCGCUGUUAUUCCAAGAAAGGUAAUUUUGUUCAACUUAUUUUUUUUUUAACGGAAAAGAGGAUGAAGAGAUCAGCACUAGCUAAAUCAUCACUGUCAGAUAAAAGAUAAAUCUUUCAUUAGGAACCAUAUCUUUGCAUGCCCUUUUGACAUUGAAGAAUAUAUUUGAUGUAAGGAUUUGGGGCUUUAUCAAAACUAUAGUAUUCUAAAAUAAACAAAACCACAAUGUCAUGUUUUAUUGGAGAACAGCCAUAAAAAAAUGAAAAGAACUUUUAAGAUUAAUAGCACAUUUUCCCUAUAGGAGCUUUGCUCUUUUUGAUAGCUUUUUAAGAUCCAUACUCACAGAAUGUUUGCAUAUUCAGCAAACAUAGACUUAGAUAACAAGAGGAGCUGCCUUUAACCCCUGGAGAUUCAGACUCCAUCCAGUCUUCCAGUGCCUGCCAAGCUAGAGAAAGGACAAAAGAAACCUUAACCAAGAAAAGACCCUCAAGAAACUAUCCUGCUGCUCCACCUCCUGGGACUUGGUGCUUCCACCAGGUCCCUUCUUCCUUCCUCUAUCCCCCCUCUCAUUGGUCCCCCCUCUUACCUGGCCUGGACUGUGCACCUGCCAAGUCUCCCUGGGACUGGCAUUGUGCCCAUGUCAUGGUUCCUGCCUUUGACUUCCCUAAGCCUGUGCCACAUCACCACACAGUCUGUUCCCAUCCCCCUGGGGAGAGCUCUGCCACCUGGCUGGUCUCCCAACUCAUUACCAUUGGCUGCAAUUCCCGAGUUCUUUGCCUUUCAUCAGCCCCUAGCUUCUCUGGACAUGAUCUUCUGACCAGCCAAGUCUCCUCCUCUUGCCUGCAGCUGUGUUCCCACCUUAAUAUCUGUCCUACUCUGGUAGACAAAUACCUUCCCCAGGUUUCCAAACCCUUUGUCUGGCUUAUAAAACACCACUUCUUUAGGAACAGUUCAUGGAUCUUCAGUUUUGAGCUCUGCCAUCAAUAGACUCAGAGACCCCCCUCUCUGUUUCUGUUCCAUUCUCUGGUGACUUAGACUCCUCAUCCUCUACCCAGUGUUUUUUCUCUUCCAAGAGUCUUCAUUACUCAGUGCAUGCUCCCUUAGAACAUCAGCUUCUAUGUGGCCCAUUUAGCCACUUUGUCUUCCCUCUGUCUCUCUGUUUCCUUCCCCCGCUCUCUCUCUAUCUCCCUAUCGGUUAUAGGUUUACCUUUCAGCUUCCCUUAAUUAUUGCCUGACUCUCUGAUAUUUUUGAGAAAUUUUAUUUGCACAGCUUACACCUUUUAUUUAUUUAUUUUGCAUGAGGUUCAAAACAUGCAAACAAAGGAAAAAACAGAGAGAAUUCUCCUACGAAUUGCUUGUUCAUGGGACGGGUGCCUCCUUCUACUCUAAUCAGUCUGGCUACAGGUUGUCCAUUUACAGAAAGUACUGUGGAUGUGACACGGUUUCUAGGAAGGUCUUGGGGUGAAGCAGGCACCAGGACAUGUCUAGCAUUUACCAUUUACUAUAAAGUAAAUAAGGUUCAAAUUGAAAAAUAAUUAAAAGGAUCGAGCUAUUCCAGGUGGAUUAAAAAAUGGCCUCAGAUCUUUCCAGAUUAUCAGAGUUCACCAAGUCAUCCAAUCCUUGGGGAAAUAAAAUUAAUGAAAUCGGGUUCUGAAAUUCUGAAGAAAAAGAGAAAACACACAAACUCAAAAAACAAAACAAAACAAAAAACUCUGAAGAGGCAGCUUUGUGUAGUAGAAGGAGGAGUGAAUGAGACCCAGAAAACUUGGGUUGGAGUUGUCUGUGGCACAUUGCAUGAGUCAUUUCUCUGGGGCCAUAGUGGACACUGUGACCCUGCCCCGAUCCCCAUCACGGGCCCAGGGACCCAUCUCCCAGCUGCUGUGGGCACUGAGAUCUAACAGCUCACAGCUGUUCCUUUCUCUGGGAACCAUCCACUUCUGAUAUCAGCUCCCCACUUUUUGGGGGAAAGCCUAUAGCCAGAGCCCUUCAGGCCAAGACUGAACUUUGCUGAGGUCACAUCCUUAACCAGCACUUGCUUCUUCCUUAUACUACUUCUCUUACUCCCUCAGAUGUGUUUCCUGAAGAGCACGCCCUCAGUAAAUCAUGGGCACCUGAAUCCCUGUCUCAGGCUCUGCUUUCAGGGAAUGUGUGACCUAAGAUAGCAACUCAGUUUACUUCUCUGUGCAGUGAAGUGGGAGGCUGGGUUGAUUAGCUCUGAGGUCCCUUCCUACUCCGAUAUUCCUUGGUUCUUUUUUGUGCAUUAUCUCACUUCUAUUUCCAAAAUAGACCAAGCUUAGAAGAAAACUUGUGAUAGUAUUGGAAUAGCUGCAUUUCCAUGUAGCUUACUACAUAACUGACAUAAGCUAAGGGUGUCUUAGCUAAUCAGAUCUCAACAUUUUCUUCGGUUACCCCUGGCAAUGGGAUUUGGAAGUGUUGCAGGGGUGACCACUGUGGUGUGAUUUUUAUCAAUGUGCUUAUAUUAUACACACACAAAGUUCCUGGCUUUCUGAACCAUGCAGACAUUUCAGAGUGCUGAGUUCCUGGAAUGUGAACCUAUUCAGUCACUUCUAUCAGCCUGCCUUGGUACUUGUUGACACCUAGGCAGAUAUUUGGAAGUCUCACAUGGUGUUCCUCACAUAGAACAAUUUGUAAGUCAUUUACAGCAAUAGGCAGACUGUGUUCCAAGUUAUUUGUAUCUAAAAAAUGUUGGUUGCACAUGAUUGUAUUAUUUUCAGUCUCGGCUUGGGUCAUGGAAAAACUGAAGAUGCAUUAGAUCAUCAAAGAAAAUGGCACAAACAACCCUGCAAAAGAAAGGAUCUUCUUCCAGAUUAAAUCUCUUAUAAUAUAACUCCUCUAUUGGAUGGUUAAUUCUAACUAUCCAAUGUCUCCCUUUUUUUUUCUUUAAUUUACCAGC